rnacentral:rRNA from 1 species
UACGAAGGGGGCUAGCGUUGCUCGGAUUGACUGGGCGUAAAGGGCGCGUAGGCGGUUCGUACAGUCAGACGUGAAAUUCCUGGGCUCAACCUGGGGGCUGCGUUUUGAUACGUGCGGACUUGAGUGCGGAAGAGGGUCGUGGAAUUCCCAGUGUAGAGGUGAAAUUCGUAGAUAUUGGGAAGAACACCGGUGGCGAAGGCGGCGACCUGGUC